rnacentral:SRP_RNA from 1 species
GCCAGGCAUGGUGGUGUAUGCUUGUAGUCCCAGCUACCUGGGAGGCUGAGGUGGGAGGAUCAUUUGAGCCCAGGAGUUCGAGGCUGCAGUGAACUAUGAUCAUGCCACUGCAGUCUAACCUGGGCAACAGAGCAUGACCCCGUCUCUA